rnacentral:rRNA from 1 species
CCUACGGGUGGCUGCAGUGAGGAAUAUUGGUCAAUGGCCGCAGGGCUGAACCAGCCAAGUCGCGUGAGGGAUGACGGUCCUACGGAUUGUAAACCUCUUUUGCCAGGGAGCAAAGGGCGCCACGCGUCGCGCCUCGCGAGUACCCGAAGAAAAAGCAUCGGCUAACUCCGUGCCAGCAGCCGCGGUAAUACGGAGGAUGCGAGCGUUAUCUGGAUUUAUUGGGUUUAAAGGGUGCGCAGGCGGAAUGUCAAGUCAGCGGUAAAAUUGCGGGGCUCAACCCCGUCCUGCCGUUGAAACUGGGGUUCUUGAGUGGGCGAGAAGUAUGCGGAAUGCGUGGUGUAGCGGUGAAAUGCAUAGAUAUCACGCAGAACUCCGAUUGCGAAGGCAGCGUACCGGCGCUCAACUGACGCUCAUGCACGAAAGCGUGGGUAUCGAACAGGAUUAGAUACCCGAGUAGUC